rnacentral:rRNA from 1 species
AUUAAUGCCCAAUGGUAUCAUUUUAUCGCAUGAUAGGGUGAUUAAAGAUUUAUCGGACAGGGAUGGCCAUGCGUACCAUUAGUUAGUUGGUGGGGUAACGGCCCACCAAGGCAGCGAUGGUUAGGGGCCCUGAGAGGGGGAUCCCCCACACUGGUACUGAGACACGGACCACACUCCUACGGGAGGCAGCAGUGAGGAAUAUUGGACAAUGGGCGGGAGCCUGAUCCAGCCAUGCCGCGUGCAGGAUGACGGCCCUAUGGGUUGUAAACUGCUUUUAUACGGGAAGAAACGCACCUACGUGUAGGUGUCUGACGGUACCGUAAGAAUAAGGACCGGCUAACUCCGUGCCACCAGCCGCGGUAAUACGGANGGUCCGAGCGUUAUCCGGAAUCAUUGGGUUUAAAGGGUCCGUAGGCGGGCCUGUAA